AACGAACGCUGGCGGCAUGCCUAACACAUGCAAGUCGAACGAGACCUUCGGGUCUAGUGGCGCACGGGUGCGUAACGCGUGGGAACCUGCCCUUAGGUUCGGAAUAACUCCCCGAAAGGGGUGCUAAUACCGGAUAAUGUCUUCGGACCAAAGAUUUAUCGCCUUUGGAUGGGCCCGCGUUGGAUUAGCUAGUUGGUAGGGUAAGCCUACCAAGGCGACGAUCCAUAGCUGGUCUGAGAGGAUGAUCAGCCACACUGGGACUGAGACACGGCCCAGACUCCUACGGGAGGCAGCAGUGGGGAAUAUUAGACAAUGGGCGAAAGCCUGAUCCAGCAAUGCCGCGUGAGUGAUGAAGGCCUUAGGGUUGUAAAGCUCUUUUACCCGGGAUGAUAAUGACAGUACCGGGAGAAUAAGCUCCGGCUAACUCCGUG
rnacentral:rRNA from 1 species